GUCUGCGGCCAUACCACCCUGAACGCGCCCGAUCUAAUCUGAUCUCGGAAGCCUGGUUAGUACUUGGAUGGGAGAAAAGAAUAAAAUAGGCUCACAGCGCACACAGCUUGCGUCCCUCUGUAUCCAGGGUAGCUGCUU
rnacentral:rRNA from 1 species